UGGGGAAUAUUGCACAAUGGGGGGAACCCUGAUGCAGCAACGCCGCGUGAAGGAAGACGGUUUUCGGAUUGUAAACUUCUAUCAAUAGGGAAGAAAGAGAUGACGGUACCUAAAUAAGAAGCCCCGGCUAACUACGUGCCAGCAGCCGCGGUAAUACGUAGGGGGCAAGCGUUAUCCGGAAUUACUGGGUGUAAAGGGAGAGUAGGCGGCAUGGUAAGCAAUAUGUGAAAGCCUCGGGCUUAACCUGAGGAUUGCAUAAUGAACUAUCAAGCUAGAGUACAGGAGAGGAAAGCGGAAUUCCUAGUGUAGCGGUGAAAUGCGUAGAUAUUAGGAAGAACACCAGUGGCGAAGGCGGCUUUCUGGACUGAAACUGACGCUGAGGCUCGAAAGCGUGGGGAGCGAACA
rnacentral:rRNA from 1 species